UCGGAACCCUCACAUGGUCUGUACGACAUCCACCUACUUGGAUCCAAGACGAGCGUGCGGUGUGGUGAAUAAUAUAAGCACUAACACCUAGGGUGCAGAUUAUGAGCUCAACUCAUCUCAACAACAACAAUUCAAUGAAUAAAUGAACUCACCUGACUUACCUGUGCCUCCACAGCACCAUGCAACAUGUAUGCAUCAUAUUUCAAUCAUAUAGUUCAUAAACCAAUUCAUGAUUUUCAAAUAAUUCUAUGCAUGGCAUAUUCAAAACAUAUUUUCAUAUAAACAUUUUUCUGGGAAAAACAGUAGUAUAUAGGUAAUACGAAAACAAAACUGCCCACUCACUGAUAAGUCGACGGGUCGUAACCCCCGUGGCGUCCCUGGAUGCGAUCGUCCUCGGGAUACGUCUCACCUAUAUGCGAAACAACUAUAAAAACAUUAAUUUUAAGCACAUCACCAAUAAUUUGAAAUAACUUCUCAUACGAUGCUCAAUUUUGGUAUAUUAAUAUACCACAUCGACCUACUCGACGUCACGAGCGUCGAGAAAUUUUUAGAAAAAUUUUUGGAAGCCCCACGCGCCCCCACGCGCCACACGUGGCACGGGUCCACGCGCUGGCCACGCGCAGCACGUGCAGCGCACGUGUCGUCUUCUUCGCAGGUCUCGCCGGACUGGUUCUCCGGUGGCCGGACUCCGGCCGAACUCCGGCCGAUUUUCAAACUCACUAUUCUCCUUCGUUUUUCACCCAUUUUCUUCGUAUUUUAUACCAAAUUGAAGCCCUAAGAGUGUACAAUCACGUUGGACUUGUUUUAGGGCCUAAAAACUACGAAAUCUCACCUUGGAAAAACCAAAGAUUCGGCCAAACUUGAAACCUACGAUCCCGACGUCCAAAACUCUCCAACGAACGUCCCCGAGCUUCCUUAGAACCUCCUAAAGCUCACCACAAGCUUGAAAUCUCCUGAAACACAACAUUUUUACGUUCGCAUGAACAGUACCUCAAAAAUGGAGGUUCGGGAUCUAUGUGAAAUCGAAGGUUUCACUUCCUAAAACUAGCACCAAUGAACUCAGGACGACGAAAGGAUGAAGAUGCAUACCUUAUUUGCCUCGAUCCGUCGAGUUUUGAAGGGUUUUGGGUGAAGGCCGUACGUAUAGGGUGAGGGGAAAGAGAGAGAUCGUGAGGGAGAGGGACAGAGAGAGCUACGGGAGGGAGAGAAGACAGGGAGUGCGUGUGUGUGUGAUUGUGUGGUCCAACACAAUCCUCACCAUCCAUCCAAUUCCCUAACCACAAAAAUUUCCAAAUUCCAAAAUUAAAAUCCCAAAACUUACAAAAUUAAUUCAAUAAUGUCGCACACACACGUACCCGAAUGUCCGUCAAGGGUAGUUACGUCAAUUCACGUCCCCGAAAUUCCCACAAUCAAAUAACCACUUAGUACCCAUAAAAUAACCUUGGGUACAUCUCUCUCAUCCGAUCUUCCGUCUCCCAGGUGGCUUCCUCUGCAGAAUGGUUCAUCCACAAUACCUUUACCAAACUCACCGUCUUGUUCCUCAGAACCUUAUCUUUCCAAUCCAAGAUAGUGACCGGUUCCUCAUCAUACGUCAAAUCCGGAUUAAUCUCUAACGGUUGAGGAGGGAUCACAUGAGAAGGAUCAGAAAUAUAAUGCCGAAGCAUAGAGACAUGGAACACAUUAUGGACCUUAGAUAACUCCGGAGGCAGUUCCAACCGGUAGGCAACUUCACCAACUCUUUCAAUGAUCACAUAAGGUCCAAUAUAUCUCGGACUUAGCUUCCCUCUUUUCCCAAAUCGUACUACACCUCUCCAAGGCGACAAUUUCAAGAAUACCCAAUCACCCACAUCAUACACUCGAUCAGUAGUAUGCCGAUCCGCUAAACUCUUAUGUCGAUCCUGGGCUGCUUUCAGGUUUGACUUAAUUACCUGAACAUUUUGAGUCGUCUCGUCCACGAUCUCAGGGCCUUCUAAUACCCGUUCACCAACCUCAGACCAACAUAAUGGCGUUCGACACGCCCUACCAUAAAGUGCCUCGAAUGGGGACAUACCAAUGCUCGAGUGAAAACUGUUAUUAUAAGCAAACUCCAUUAAGUCCAGACGAUCAUGCCAAGAAUCACCAAAUUGCAGUACUGAAGAUCUCAACAUAUCCUCCAACGUCUGAAUGGUCCUCUCUGAUUGCCCAUCAGUUUGAGGAUGAUAAGCUGUGCUAUACAGUAAUUGAGUACCCAGAGCUUCCUGAAAAGCCACCCAAAAUUUAGAAGUAAACCUCGGGUCUCGAUCGGAGAUAAUAUUUACUGGGACUCCAUGAUACUUGACAAUCUUCGAAAUAAACAACUUAGCCAAUUUAUUCAGAGGGUAUUUCUCCCUCACAGGAAUGAAAUGCGCAGACUUGGUGAGUCGAUCCACAAUCACCCAAAUACCAUCAAAUCCAUUUCGCGUACGAGGAAGUUUAUACACGAAAUCCAUUGUUAUAUUUUCCCAUUUCCACUGGGGAACAGGAAGGGGUUGCAUUCGCCCAAAGGGCUUCUUCCUUUCUGCUUUCACUUGCUGGCAAAUAAUAUACACCUGCUCACAUAUUCUGCAAUUUCUCUUUUCAUACCCGGCCAAUAAUAAAAUGGUCGAAUGGUAUGAUACAUUUUUGUUCCUCCCGGAUGCAUCGCAUAAGCUGAACAAUGUGCUUCAUCCAGAAUUUCCUUCUUCAAUUCCUCAUUAUUCGGAACAUACAUUCUGUCUUCUUGCAUGAGCAUACCAUCUGAUUCCCGAAUUCUGAGGUCUUUCUUUUUCCCUUCACUUCUUAACUGAACCAACUCUUGAACUUCCUCAUUCACCAUCUGAGCUGCAAGUAUACGGUCCACCAAAACUGGCCUGACUUGAAAACUAGCAAGAAAAGCUCCAUCUCGGUCUUCAAUUUCCAACCUUACCCCCGUUGUCCUCAAUUCAGCAAGAAGAGGAACACGACUCGCAUAUAAGGCAUUAAGCCUACCUUGAGGUUUCCUACUCAGUGCAUCCGCUACUACAUUAGCACGACCUGGAUGGUAUUCAAUAGAACAAUCAUAAUCACUUAACAAUUCCAUCCACCUUCGCUGACGAAGAUUAAGAUCAUGCUGAGUAAACAAAUACUGAAGACUCUUGUGAUCAGUGAAGAUCUUACACUUCUCACCAUACAAGUAAUGCCUCCAAAAUUUUCAAAGCAAAAACAAUUGCUGCCAAUUCAAGAUCGUGAGUAGGAUAGUUCCUUUCAUGAUUUUUCAACUGCCUAGAAGCAUAGGCAAUCACCUUAUUAUGCUGCAUCAAAACACAUCCCAAACCAUUUAAUGAAGCAUCACUAUAUAUCUCAAAAUUACCGUUAUCGUCGGGAAGUACCAACACCGGUGCAUGAGUGAGGCAAUACUUCAAUUGUUGAAAACUCCGCUCACAAUUCUCAUCCCACUCAAAUUUAACAUCCUUCCUGGUCAACUUUGUCAACGGUAAAGCAAUCAUAGAGAAAUCCUGAACGAACCGUCGAUAAUAACCUGCUAAGCCAAGAAAACUUCGUACCUCCGUGACGGUUCGAGGUUGCUCCCAAUUCUCCACUGCUGCAAUCUUUUGAGGAUCAACUUGAAUACCUUGAGCUGAUACAAACAUGCCCCAAAAAUGCCACUUCAGUCAACCAAAACUGACAUUUACUGAACUUGGCAUACAACUGAUGCUCCCUUAAUUUCCUUAACACCAAAUUAAGGUGUCGGAUAUGAUCUGCUUGGGACUUAGAGUAUACCAGAAUAUCAUCAAUAAAAACAAUAACAAAUUUAUCAAGAUAUUUCUGGAAUACCUCAUUCAUUAAUCUCAUAAAAGCUGCAGGUGCAUUAGUCAACCCAAACGGCAUAACCGAAAAUUCAUAAUGUCCGUACCGAGUUCGGAAAGCCGUCUUAGGUACAUCGUCUUCUUUAAUCUUCAAUUGAUAAUACCCGGAUCUCAAAUCAAUCUUAGAAAAUACACACGCACCUUUCAGCUGAUCAAACAAAUCAUCAAUGCGGGGCAAUGGAUAACGGUUUUUAAUCGUUACCCGGUUCAAUUGUCUAUAAUCAAUACACAAUCGAAGAGUUCCAUCCUUCUUUCUUCACAAAUAAUACUGGGGCACCCCAAGGUGAAGAACUAGGUUGAAUAAAACCUUUAUCAAGUAAUUCUUGCAACUGGAUUUUUAAUUCCCUUAACUCAGCAGGAGCCAUUCUAUAAGGAGUCAGAGAUAUAGGGUCCGUACCUGGAAGCAAAUCAAUAGAGAAUUCCACCUCUCUGUCUGGCGGCAAUCCCGGCAAAAUCAUCAGGGAAAACAUCCGGAUAAUGUCUGACCACACCAACUUCUUCUAUACUAGUAGGAGCAACAUCAUUUAAUACCACAUGUGCCAAAUAUCCCUGACAACCCUUCGAUAAUAAUUUCCUCGCCCUUAUGGCAGAAAUAACUCCAUGUCUCACCCCACUUCUCUCGCCCACAAAAAAUAACCUCGGGUAAUCCAGGACGAUAAAAAGUAACUGAUUUACCAUAACAAUCAAUAUGGGCACGAUUAUGGUGUAACCAAUCGGCCCCUAAAAUCACAUCGAAAAUCCACAAUAUCUAACGGAAUAAGAUCAGCGGACAUAAUCACGCCCUCAACCAUCACUGGACACCCCAGAUACACACUAUCCACAAUACAUUUAUCUCCUCUAGGCAUGGCAAACUCUAAAUCAAAUCCUAGAGGUGAAGGGUGAGGUUGGGUUAUUUGAGCAAACGUAUGAGAAAUCACAGAGUGCGCGUAGCACCACAAUCAAUCAAAACCUUAGCAAAAUGACCAAGAACAUUUAACGUACCCAUUAUCAAGUCUGGAUGGUUCUGAGCCUCCUGCAGGGAACAUAUGAUUAACUCGCCCCUGAGCUUGCUGACGUCCACCUCGGCCUCUAUUGCCCUGAUUACCUCGUCCCUGAGGAUUACGUCCCUGGCCUGGCUGACUAGGCUGCCUGGAUGAUCCUGCACCACCAGUAGCAACUUCCCCCUGACGGGGCUGGCCUCCCUGAUGCCACUGCGAUCCACCAGCUGGCAUAGAGGAAUAAGAAGAAUAACCUCCAAAAUCCUGAGAAUACCCUGCCUGAGGAUAAGGCUCCUGAGAAUACUGAUAAGGUCCGGAAGCAUACGGAGCAGCAUCCCCCUGAUAGUGGUAGGCACCACCACGACUCGGCUGGCCAUAACCACCCGGUCCAAAACUCUGCUGAACUGGUGCUGGAGGUGGCAUAUUAGUCUGCUGCGGUCUCUGCUGACCCUGGGGGCACUGAGAAGCCCGAUGUCCCAUCUGCCCACACGUAAAACAAGCACCAGAACCUCUCCUACACUCACCAUGGUGACGGGAGUUACAACGGCGGCACCAUGGAGCGCCAGAUCCACCAGCAUCCCUCUGACCCUGAAAUCUGGGUCCACCAGAAAAUCUUCCACCACCUCUCCUCGGGCCAGUAAAACUAUAUCCCCCACUAGAAGAACUCGAACUCGCUCCACUCUUCUUAAAACUCUGUGUCUGUCGAGGUCCAGGAAUAGAAAUACCCUUACCCUUAUCAUUCUUCUUCUGACCCUCAUUCUUGUCCUCGUCAUCCUCACUGUCAGGAAGAUUAUCAGAGUCCUCCAUCCUAACCAAAAUCUCGAAAUACUCAUGAUAAUCAGCGCAGGGAAGUGCAUUGGCAAAGGUACGCCACUUCUUCUUAGAUCCCAACUUGAAACGUCGAAGCAUCUCUCCCUGAUUACCAGCUAUAUCAGUGUCAUAACGAGACAAAUCAGUAAACUUUCUAUAAUAUUCAUGUGCCGACAUAUUUCUCUGUUUCAACCUGGUGAAUUCCUGCUUCUUACGGUCAAUAUACUCAGGAGGAACGAAUCUCUUCAUAAAAUGCUCCUUGAAUACUUUCCAGUCGGCUGCCGUCUCAGGUGACAUGUACCUAGCCUGAUUUAUCCACCAUGCUGCUGGUUCACGACCCAGAAACCAAGUGGUGGUCUCCACCCACCUAUUAGCAGGGAGAUUCCCCUGACUCUCUGCAUCACCUGAAAGGUUUUUCUCAAUAUGAUCAAGCCAUUUCUCUGCCCCCUCAUGACUUUCAUUACCCAUAAACCGAUCUAACUUCAAGUUGUACAUGGUCUCCAGAGGUGUCCUCGGAGGAGGGGGAGGACGAAUCACAUUCUGUAAAGCCUGGGCCAUCGCUUCCCCUAACUGAGUAAUAUCCGGGAAAUUAGGUUCAGGAGUACGGCGGGACUCCCUACGCUCUCUACGAGGCGGCAUGAUUCUGACAGAAAACAUCAAAAGAUCGUUAAGACAUUAACAAUUUUACAGGACUGCAACCUAAGCUCUGAUACCAAACUGACACACCCUGAUCCGGAGGAUCCAGGUGUGCUGGCCGUCACGUGGGCGUGACGUAACCAUAAGCACGACACGGAAGCGUAAUAACAACAUAUAACAACAGAAAUUCAACCCAAACUCAACAUAACCACAUACGGACAUAACCGGACGAGUUACAAGUAAACACAUAAGUUCAGAGCAUAGAUUAACUGCAGUCAAGUAGGACUAAAAUAAGAAUACAUCACCCUCAGGUGAGUCCUACAUGUCCCAAAUCUGUCAGAAAGCCGGAAAGGACCUCGUGAGCCAACCACCGCUAAACUAGAACCUGGAGGGGCGCAAAACAAAAUGAGUGGGUCAGUAAAACAAAUUAGUUUUCCAAAACAUUUCAUUAAAACAGUUAUAUCCCCUCGCCGUAAAAACCUGUAUACUUUCCCAGAAAUAUAUAACCAUAUAAAAUCUCAACAUUUAAAUCUCAAAUCUUUAACAUUUUCAAGAAAACAUGCCAUGACAUAAAUAAAAAUAUAAAUCAGGUGAAUAAGGAAUCAAUCGGAGACCCUGCAGUUGGUCCUAUACGAUUAAUUCAAUAGCUCAAAUCCCACUAAGCCGGAGUCACCACAGUGACCUAUACGGCCCUACUCUGCACAUUACUCGGAACUACGUAAGGUAGUCUAUACGAUGAAAGGUGUAAAAAUACGCUCUAGUGCUUCUCUCAUCAUAUCAUCAGCGCGCAUAACUAAGGUCACCCACUAGUCGGAAUCACGCCUAGUGAUCUGUACGACUAGCAUGUCGGAACCCUCACAUGGUCUGUACGACAUCCACCUACUUGGAUCCAAGACGAGCGUGCGGUGUGGUGAAUAAUAUAAGCACUAACACCUAGGGUGCAGAUUAUGAGCUCAACUCAUCUCAACAACAACAAUUCAAUGAAUAAAUGAACUCACCUGACUUACCUGUGCCUCCACAGCACCAUGCAACAUGUAUGCAUCAUAUUUCAAUCAUAUAGUUCAUAAACCAAUUCAUGAUUUUCAAAUAAUUCUAUGCAUGGCAUAUUCAAAACAUAUUUUCAUAUAAAACAUUUUUCUGGGAAAAACAGUAGUAUAUAGGUAAUACGAAAACAAAACUGCCCACUCAC
rnacentral:lncRNA from 1 species